GUACACUCCUACGGGAGGCAGCAGUGGGGAAUAUUGCACAAUGGGCGCAAGCCUGAUGCAGCCAUGCCGCGUGUAUGAAGAAGGCCUUCGGGUUGUAAAGUACUUUCAGCGGGGAGGAAGGCGAUAAGGUUAAUAACCUUGUCGAUUGACGUUACCCGCAGAAGAAGCACCGGCUCACUCCGUGCCAGCAGCCGCGGUAAUACGGAGGGUGCAAGCGUUAAUCGGAAUUACUGGGCGUAAAGCGCACGCAGGCGGUCUGUCAAGUCGGAUGUGAAAUCCCCGGGCUCAACCUGGGAACUGCAUUCGAAACUGGCAGGCUAGAGUCUUGUAGAGGGGGGUAGAAUUCCAGGUGUAGCGGUGAAAUGCGUAGAGAUCUGGAGGAAUACCGGUGGCGAAGGCGGCCCCCUGGACAAAGACUGACGCUCAGGUGCGAAAGCGUGGGGAGCAAACAGGAUUAGAAACCCCAGUAGUCCCAUGAU
rnacentral:rRNA from 1 species